GGGGUUUCUUUUUUCUGUUUCCGUCCGCUUCCCUUCCAUAUCUCUACUACUACAUAAGUUCUUAGUGUAGACGUCCACAACAAACGGUGCACGGUUCUGCCAUCUAUCCAGCUUGGAAGGUUCCCGAGAUCCCCGCCUCCCUACGCCGAUCCGCCCAUCGCGCCGCGUCUCUCUCGCUGCGUCCUUCCGUAGUCUCCUCCCGCAAUCAACGCAUCCUCGCCUUACCAUGCCGAUCUAGCCCCGGCUCUCCAUGGAAGGUGUGACCUCUGCACCCAACUCUCCAGGGAAGGCGCGGUGGCCUCCCGCAAUCAACGGUCUCUUGCCCCACCGCGACGACCUUGCCCUGGCUGGAAGGCCGUGUAAGGUGCGACCGAGCCCCAGCUCAACAUGGAAGGUGCGAUCCACUCUCCUCGCCCCAUCAUCGGCGUCCACUAUCCAUCGAAGAGUCCCGCCUUCCCAGUCCCCCUUCCCCACAGAUGGCCGGCGAACCCAUCGCCACCGUGCCAUCGGGGCCUGAAUCCGUGGCCGAGGCCAACCGCCUCCUGGCGCUGGCCGAGUCGGAGCUCUCCACGGGCAGGCACGCCCUUCGCGCGCAGGUACGCCCUCCGCGCCGCCCGCCUGUACCCGACCUCCCCGCGCGCCCCAGUGGUGGCCACCGCCGCCAAUGUGCUCCUCGCCGACGCCUCCUCCCACCACGCCGCGCUGCUGCUGCCCGAGCCCGACGACCCCCACGCCUCGCCGCUCUCCGUCUCCGAGCUCUACCGCCACUUCAAGUCGCUCAUCAAGUCCCUCCGCGUCGGCCUCGACGCCACCACCGCAGCCGCCUACCCCUCCGUUGCCGCCGCCGCCGAGGAGGCACUCGGCCGCGCCACCAAGGCCUACGAGGCGCUCACCGCUCCUGCCCCUGGGACCUUCUGGACCGCCUGCGAUUUCGGUUUCAACUCUGGAAAUUGCUGAUCAAUUAAUUAUGGGGGGAAGCGUCUCUACUUCCUUCUCGGUUGGUCAAGGUAUCCCCUUCCUGUGUCCUCUCUCCUCUGUGUAGAUGGCGAAUUUGUGGAGUCCGAAUAAUCUGAAUGUUCUCGCAUUCUUUACAUAAUCCCUUGCCAAUUCAUGGCAAGUUUUAUUUGCUCCAUUUGUUUUAUGGUAUGAUGAUCUGGAUCUGAUGAGCCCAUUCAAAUUCUUUUGCCGAGCCGCCGUCCCUCUUUUUCUACUGUUUGUUUGUGUAUCGGAAUUGCUGGAUCUAUACCGAAAUCUGAAAAGUGUAGGCCAUACAGAGAAUUAAGAAGUUGUCUUGACCUCACUGGACCCAGAGACUACUCAUCACCAGAGGAAAUGGUACAAAGACUAACAACAGCUUCUACUGUACUAAGGAGGGUGUUGGAUAAUCCAGCACUCCAGGACUGUCAAGAGAAUAAUGGAUUUGGAGACAUGAUGGAUGAAGAUGUUAUAAGCAAUAUUUCAGUUCGCUUGAAGUUAAGUCUUACUGUUUAGGACUUCACUCUCCCAGUGACACCUACUUUACCUGCUGUUUUUGGUGUAUCCUGGCAAUAUUCCUUUUUACUGUGUUCCAUUUCCAUUUCUGUGAUGUGCUCAACUUUACGUUUGGAUAAAAGUUAGUAAGGUAAAGUAAACACAUUCACAAAUUCAAGUACUGAGAAGAAAAACUGUACGUUUCAAAGUAGUUGUCCAAGUUAUGCCAACUUGCUUUUAUGUAAUGACAGCAAGAAAGCUGAUCUAAGACCUGCAUUGUGGUGAAUUUUGCAGCUGUCCGGCCGCGUGUACCGCGUCACCUUCACCAACCGGCUCAACGGGGACGCAGGCGCGGUGCCGUGAAGCAGAUACGGACCGCCGGGAAACUGUACCUCCACAAGAGCAACUGGGAAAACUUCGUGAAGAAAAUGGGUCUCUUAAAAGAAGCUUGGAGAGCUGUAAGACAGUUUCAGCCAAUUCUAAUGGCACUUUGGAAAGAUCACUUAAAGUGCAAAGGAAUGCAGUUCAGGAAAAUUCAUUGAAUCUCACCAAGCAGAAUGGAUAUGGUGGUGGUUCUUCUCACAGUACCCAGGCAAAUGGUGUUCUCCAUGCCAUGGCAACCAGUGGUCAAGUUGGCCAUUUGGCUCGGUGGGACCUUCGCUCGUCCUGCAUGUUAUGUGACUCUCAAAAACUUGCACUUUCCAUUACUUGUACAGAGUCUAACGGACGGCCUUACUACUGAUACAUGAUAACUAUUUAUAUCGCUAUCGGGGUUUCAAGACUACGGAUGGCUUCAUGCUCAUUGUAUUUUUAGGUUGUCAAGCCUGUCAAUUAGAUCCAAAGCAUUGUUCCUAUCAAUCUCAAAGUAAAUAACUGGAAGUAUGGAAGACCUCCUAACUGGGAGCAAGUCUUUCCUGUUUCCACUGGCUGGGUAGCUGGAUCAUCAACAAAAGAGAACUACUUUGGAGACCAUCAUGACGACAGAAGAUUUUCUGUCGCCUGUAUUAGGUGGUGAAUCUUAACAAGUCAAUAUGUAAAGCUCAACUCUUCCCAUUGUAUGAGAACAGAACAUUAGUGAUCAAGUUGCUGGUUACAUGAGAGAUCCAAGCCGGAUGAUUAACAAGAUGUACUUGACCAACUCUACUGUUAGAGUAUUUGGAAAGGACGUGGGAGAACCUGGAACAGCUGUGGAGGGGCACAUUAUGGAAGGUGAUCCUGGACUUAUUGAUGAUUUUGAGUUUUAUCAACAACUUCUCAAGGAGUUCCUUGAGUCAUGUGAUAGAGGGGCAUCAGGUUAGUUCAUUUUGAAAAAAAUAGUUAAAAUGUUGCACUGUACAAAACACCAAAGUAUAUAGUUAAGCAUGUGACCUCAUGCCAUUUGUCCUAUAUCGUAAGUUUACAUUACAUUCAUCACCAAGAAAACAUUAACUAAGGGUCAAAUUUUGAGCAAUCCUAUUGGUGGUGUGAACUGAAAACUGAUGGUUCGAUGAGGCAGAUCAUAGUGCAACAGAUCAAGUGCCAUCGUCGGAUUUGAGCCCAAACAAAGCUGGAGGUAGUGAAGGACUUAGUGGCAGCAUGUUGCCCUGGUUCAUGAAGCACCCCCACCCCCUCCGCGGGUCCAUGGAUGCAACCAAAGUUUUAUUUGUUUAAGCAGCCUCGGUUCAUACCAAGCUGAAGCGUUGAACCGAAGAAUCUUCUCCCCUUUGUCGAUGCUGAUAGUGUGUAAAUUGAACUAUAUGACUGUCACAUCGAUUUACAACACUGGAGCUACUUGAACAGCUUAUAGGGCUGGAAGCUUACAAAAUAAGCAUUACAAUUUGGCACAUAGCAUAUCCAGUACCAUGUCCAUGAGAAGAUCACUAAUUUCAUGGCACCGGAGCCCAUGGUUCUUCCUCCAAUGGCUCCGAAGUUGUUUGAGAAUUUAUUUGGGAAUAGCAGCUAGAAUCCAUAUACUGCAGUAGAUUAAAUUUCACAUUUCUUGCUGUUGCUUUUUCUACUUCUAUAAACUGCACUCGGUAUGAUGUCACUAGACUAAAUUGAAAGUUUUGAUGGCCUCAUCAGUUUUGUGCGUACACAAUUUUUCUGGAUUCCGUGUGCAGCUCACUAGAUGUAUCAGGAUGCGCGCACGGAAACAAGCAGGUGAAGGGUUUCAUGUUUGAAAAACCGGUUGAUCUGAAAGUAGGUGUGAACCAUGUCGUAUUGCUGUCAUCAACUAUGGGAAUGAAGGAUAGUGGUGGUGAACUUGCUGAAGUAAAGGGCGGCAUUCAGGAGUGCCUAAUCCAAGGUCUCAACACUGGGACGUUGGAUUUACAAGUCAAUGGCUGAGGCCAUAAAGCUGCACUAGAAGGUGAGUUAAAGGAGAUCUACUCAGAAAAAGGUUUGGGCAAAGUUCAGUGGAAACCGGCUGAGAACGACCGGGCAGCCACUUGGUAUAAGAGAUACUUUGAUGAGCCAGAUGGAGAUGAUCCCGUUGUACUUGACAUGAGCUCAAUGAGCAAGGGAAUGAUUUUUGUGAAUGGCGAAGGAGUGGGUAGAUACUGGGUCUCAUACCGAACUCUUGCUGGAACUCCUUCUCAAGCAGUGUAAGUCUGUGGAGUUAACCUUAUUGAGGCAGGUCGUAUACUGUUCUUGGCCAACAAGCUUGACAAUAAAAGGUCUUUUCAUUUGCCGUCGUGGCGUCUGUGGAGCGGGUGUGGAGCGGGUGUUCGCGGGUGUUCGCGGACAAGGCGGUGCCGUCGUGGCGGGAGCAGCUCACGCUGCGGGCAUUCGUCGUCAGCGCGCUGCUGGCCGUCAUGUUCAGCGUCAUAGUCAUGAAGCUCAACCUUACCACGGGGAUCAUCCCCUCCCUCAAUGUCUCCGCUGGGCUGCUCGGCUUCUUCUUCGUCCGCAUGUGGACCGCCGCCGCCGAGAGGAUGGGCUUCCUCCGCCAGCCCUUCACCAGGCAGGAGAACACCGUCAUCCAGACCUGCGUUGUCUCUGCCUACGGCAUCACCUUCAGCGGUGGCUUUGGCAGUUAUCUAUUUGAAAUGAGUGAAAAAAUAGCUAAACAAGCAACAACGGUGUACCACGGAGGAACAAAUUUUGGAAGGACUGGCGCUUCUUAUGUGCUGACUGGAUACUAUGAUGAAGCUCCCAUGGAUGAAUAUGGUAUGUACAAGGAGCCCAAAUUUGGGCAUCUCAGGGACUUGGCACAACGUAAUAAGGUCAUAUCAAAAAGCAUUCCUCUGGGGCAACAUUCGUCUGAGAUAUUGGGUCAUUGGUAUGAGGCACACAUCUUUGAGUUGCCUGAAGAAAAGCUAUGCCUCUCUUUCCUUUCCAACAAUAACACGGGCGAAGACGGAACAGUGAUCUUCCGAGGGGAUAAGCACUAUGUGCCUAGCCGUUCUGUCUCCAUUAUUUGGGGUUACCGAGGAGGGGGUGAACCAAACACAAAAACAUCAGCUCAUGCUCGUGCGGUAUUUUAAGCCCUGCCUCUACAUGGACGCCGGCCUCGCUUCCGCGGUCACCAUGCUCCGGACCUGCACCGAUGUCGCGCACGUGCUCGAGCAGUUUCGUCUCGCCUGGUGCGGCAAGCUCGUUCGGGACGCCCGCACCGUCGUUCCGUCAAGGACCUCUGCUUCGACCUCUUCAUCAUUAGGGGUGGAAACAGAGCUUUCAAUGCAUGCUGGAGGUGCGCGAUGUGAUCGAUAUUAUCCAUGCUUGAUAAAUGAUAACAAUGGUGAUGGUCAUGAUAUAUGGUCAAUAUUGUAUUGAUCUUUUUCCGAGUUUUAGGCUGUCAUGUUGUUUGCUGGAAUGGAGAUAUUUCAUUAUUCACUUGGUUCAUGUGACAGAGUUAAUUACCUUGUUUACGUGCUUUCUUAGUAC